AUUAGUCAAAGCAGUUGCGAUGCGUUUUGUCUCUCAUUUACCUGUCAAGAUCUGGUUAACGAUGCUCUCCUUCCUAAUAGCAGAUGACACUGCAAAUCAGCAGCAAGGCCCAGAGCUGGCAAGGAACUUCUGUGUAAGGCAAAGCUGGGACCAAUCACUCACGCAGAACCGAAUCACUCAGAAGAAGAAUUUUUCAGGUGCAUCUGAUAAGACAGUUGCAAAAUAUGCAUGGCCUUUUGGAGUGUAAGACAGAAUAUGAAAUACGUGGAGAAAACAUUUCUGGGUGGCAUUAUCAAAGAUGUUUAGCAUAUGGUUAGCAGCUUUCAGUCAAGCAGAAGAUGAACCUUUUGUAGGCUGUAGUAGGGGCCAUAAUUUCCCUUCAGAGGCACAUUUGGAAAGCACAUUCAGGACAACCGGGUUAGGAGGCGGUACAGAUGUUUGUGAGCUGAACAAAGGGGAUCACAGGCCUGAGGGCAAGAUGUAAACGAAGAUACUUAAUUGCAGAAGGGUCAGUGCAAGUAAGGAUGCGAGGCUAGAGAAUUUUACUCGUAUGAUUAACCUUCUUUAAGCUGCUGAUAAGUGGGUUGCUUGCCUAAGAUAUAUACACGUGAAGAAAUCUGGAAAGCCACCGGAUGUGUCAAGAUGAGCCUCAAGUGAAGAUUCACCUUGAGUCUCAUUAUGACAUGAGACUGCUGCCAAGUGGACGGCUGAUCUCAGAGCAGAUCUGACUACAGAAGACAAGCACCUACAGAGAGGAUUCCUUCACCAUCAACAGGAGGACCCUGUCCAAGUCAUCUCCCAACCUAAAAGAUGGCAGGAAAGUAUCUGCCUUUUAAAUCUGAAGAAAAGACUGAAAACAUUAAGUAAGUAUCCUCAAAAUGGGGGGGCAAAAUAAAAAAGUCAGAAUGAAAAAUUCAAAAUCUCACUUACAAGAUCAUUUUUAAGCCUGGCCAUAUUGAUGCAAAUAUUUACACUUGUGGAGUGGGCAAAUAUAAAGCUAGAAGCACCAUGAACAUUAUCAGAGAAGUACAAGGAGCUUUGCUUUCAGAAACUUAAGACCAAGCAACUUCAUUAAUUCACUGUUUAUUAACUUACACCAUUGAUGUCAUGUUUUGUUAUAGCACAGCGUGUCAUAGUUUCCAGAAAUAGAUGCA
ensembl:lncRNA